AUUGAACGCUGGCGGCAUGCCUUACAUAUGCAAGUCGAACGGUAACAGGUUAAGCUGACGAGUGGCGAACGGGUGAGUAAUGCAUCGGAACGUGCCCGGUCGUGGGGGAUAACACUUCGAAAGAAGUGCUAAUACCGCAUACGAUCUGAGGAUGAAAGCGGGGGACCGUAAGGCCUCGCGCGAUCGGAGCGGCCGAUGUCAGAUUAGGUAGUUGGUGGGGUAAAGGCUCACCAAGCCGACGAUCUGUAGCUGGUCUGAGAGGACGACCAGCCACACUGGGACUGAGACACGGCCCAGACUCCUACGGGAGGCAGCAGUGGGGAAUUUUGGACAAUGGGCGCAAGCCUGAUCCAGCAAUGCCGCGUGCAGGAAGAAGGCCUUCGGGUUGUAAACUGCUUUUGUACGGAGCGAAAAGGCUCUCUCUAAUACAGGGGGCUCAUGACGGUACCGUAAGAAUAAGCACCGGCUAACUACGUGCCAGCCGCCGCCGUAA
rnacentral:rRNA from 1 species